rnacentral:tRNA from 1 species
GGGUCUGUAGCUCAGGUGGUUAGAGCGCACGCCUGAUAAGCGUGAGGUCGAUAGUUCGAGUCUAUCCAGACCCACCA